UUACCAAGGUUUGACACCAUAUUGAAGGUAACAGAAAUGUUGCCGCCAGCAAUGGCAGUAUGACAGGUGGUGCAUGGUUGUCGUCAGCUCGUGUCGUGAGAUGUUGGGUUAAGUCCCGCAACGAGCGCAACCCUCUUCCCAUGUUGCCAUCAGGUUAUGCUGGGCACUCUUGGGAUACUGCCAGUGUAAAACUGGAGGAAGGUGGGGAUGACGUCAAAUCAUCAUGCCCUUUAUACCUUGGGCUGCACACGUGCUACAAUGGUCUGUACAAAGAGCUGCGAUACUGUGAAGUGGAGCGAAUCUCAGAAAACAGAUCUAAGUCCAGAUUGAAGGCUGCAACUCGCCUUCAUGAAGUCGGAGUCGCUAGUAAUCGUGGAUCAGCACGCCACGGUGAAUACGUUCCCGGGCCUUGUACACACCGCCCGUCACACCACGAAAGUCGGAUACACCCGAAGCCAGUGGGCUAACCUGCAAGGGGGGCAGCUGUCGAAGGUGGAAUCGAUGAUUGGGGUGAAGUCGUAACAAGGUAGCC
rnacentral:rRNA from 1 species